rnacentral:misc_RNA from 1 species
UCCGAGUUGACCCCGGCAGUCUCCCAUGAGUCCCCGGCAUAACCCGCUGGCAACAUGGAACGAGGGUUGCGCUCGUUGCGGGACUUAACCCAACAUCUCACGACACGAGCUGACGACAACCAUGCACCACCUGUCCACCGACCCCGAAGGGAAACCCCAUCUCUGGAGCGGUCCGGCGGAUGUCAAGCCUUGGUAAGGUUCUUCGCGUUGCAUCGAAUUAAUCCGCAUGCUCCGCCGCUUGUGCGGGCCCCCGUCAAUUCCUUUGAGUUUUAGCCUUGCGGCCGUACUCCCCAGGCGGGGCACUUAAUGCGUUAGCUACGGCGCGGAGAACGUGGAAUGUCCCCCACACCUAGUGCCCAACGUUUACGGCAUGGACUA